rnacentral:rRNA from 1 species
CCUACGGGAGGCAGCAGUGAGGAAUAUUGGUCAAUGGACGAGAGUCUGAACCAGCCAAGUAGCGUGAAGGAUGACUGCCCUAUGGGUUGUAAACUUCUUUUAUAAGGGAAUAAAACGAGGCACGUGUGCCUCUUUGCAUGUACUUUAUGAAUAAGGAUCGGCUAACUCCGUGCCAGCAGCCGCGGUAAUACGGAGGAUCCGAGCGUUAUCCGGAUUUAUUGGGUUUAAAGGGAGCGUAGAUGGGUUGUUAAGUCAGUUGUGAAAGUUUGCGGUCCAACCGUAAAAUUGCAAUUGAUACUGGCAGUCUUGAGUAGAGGAGAGGUAGGCGGAAUGCGUGGUGUAGCGGUGAAAUGCUUAGAUAUCACGAAGAACCCCGAUUGCGAAGGCAGCAUACUAACCUGUGACUGACAUUGAUGCUCGAAAGUGUGGGUAUCAAACAGGAUUAGAUACCCCUGUAGUC